rnacentral:lncRNA from 1 species
UUUCUUAUGAGCAUAUACUGAUGAACCAGAAUUUUCAAGUAGAACUUCUCUUGUUUAUGCCUCAAAUGUCAGAAUAGAAAAAAAAACUUUGUAUGAGAUCAGUGAGUCACUAUAAACACGUGUCACAUGAGUAUACUGAUAAAAGUAUGAGACAGAGUAAGAAUUUGUCUAGACAUUUACACAAAGUAGAACUUCUAACCAGUUUUUUUUUUCAACUUUCCUUUUUUAUUUCAUUUUGCAUUCUUAACUGGACCUUUUAGGUGAUCUUAAUCAUCUCUAAUUCAAACCCGUUCCUCUCAAAGUUUCCCUACUCAGUUCUUUAGUGAAGAUGUCAGCUAUUUGUUUAUCAGUAGCACAUAAUUCUAUUGAAAUCAAUCCUUUCUCGUAGUUAUCUCUUAAGAAGUGAUGUCUAACAUCUAUGUGCUUUGUCCUUUUAUGAUGAACAUGGUCUUUGUCACACUUAUAGCACUUACCUUAUCAUAGAAUAUUGGUAUACAUCCCACUUCAAUUCCAAAAUCUACCAUAUGUUGUUUGAUCCAUAGCAAUUGAGCACAACAAGAAGCAACAACAACAUAUUUAGCUUCAGCAGUAGAUAGGGCUACAGAAUUUUGCUUUUUAGUAGCCCAUGACACAAGACAUGAACCAAGGAAGUGUGCCAUACCCGAGAUGCUCUUCCUAUCCACUAGGAAACCUGCAUAAUCAGCAUCAGCAUACCCUACUAAAUUGAAAUUACUACCUUUGGGAUACCAAAGACACAAAUCAGUGGUGCCUUUCAGAUAUCUCAAUAUCCUCUUGACAUCAGUCAAGUGUGACUCUUUUGGAUUCGACUGAAAACGAGCACAAAUCCCUACACUGAAAACAAUGUCAGGUGUGCUUGCAGUAAGAUACAAGAGUGAACCAAUCAUACCCCUAUGCAACUUCUGAUCAACUGAUGAACCAGGUUCAUCAACAUCUAAUUUGGUAGCAGUUGCAAUAUAUGUAUCUAUUUCUUUAGAGUCCUUCAUUUUGAACUAUUUGAUUAGAUCUUUUGUAUACUUCUACUGAUGGAUGAUGGUUCCAUUUGGACUUUGUUUGAUCUGCAAGCCUAAGAAGAAGUUAAGUUAACCUAUCAUGCUCAUUCAAACUUACUUCUCAUUAGUUUUGCAAAGUCCUUACUCAACCUAUCAGUAGUGGCCCCAAAAUUUAAUAUCAUUAAUAUAUAUUUGCACAACAAGGAGGUCUUUUCCUUUUUCAUUUAAGAACUAGGUACUGUCAAUUUUACCUCUUUUAUAACCAUGCUCCAGUAGGAAUUUUGAUAGUCGUUCAUACCAAGCUCUUGGGGCUUGCUUGAGACAUUAAAGAGCUUUGUCUAGCUUGUACACAUGCUCAGGACAUUCCUUGCUUUAAAAUCCUAGAGGUUGUUUCACAAACACUUCUUUGUUUAGGUAGCCAUUCAGGAAGGCACUUUUGACAUCCAUCUGGUGGAGAGUGAAUUCCAUGUGUGCUGCAAAGUCUAUGAGGAGUCUCAUUGCGUCUAGUCUUGCAACUGGAGCAAAGUUCUCAUCAUAGUCAAUACCUUCCUCUUAGUUGUAUCCUUGAACCACCAGCCUUGCCUUGUUUCUUGUAAUUGUUCCAUCUUCAUCAAGUUUGUUCCUAAAGACCCAUUUUGUGCCAAUAACUUAUCUGUCCUUGAGUCUUGGAACUAGAUGUCAGACUCGACUUGUUACAAAUUGGUUGACUUCAUCCUACAUAGCAUUGACCCAAUCUGCAUCAUGCAAAGUCUCAACAAUAUUUUUAGGCUCAUAAAGAGAUAGAAAAACAUCAAAUGCACACAGAUUCUUUAGUUGCGAUCUAGUUUUAACUCCAAAUGUUGGAUCAGUAAUAAUGUUCUCAAUAGGAUGAGAACUUUGAUACUUGUGGGAUUUUUCCACCAACUGAUUUCUGCUAGAUGAUUCUCCUUUGUUCUGUUGCUGAGGAACAUGUUCAUGAACAGUUCUUGUAGAGAUUUUAUUUCAAUUUCUCCCUGAUUAGUUCCCCCUGUCAGGUUGCCUUGAGUAAAAGAACAUGUUCCAUCACCUGUCCUUUCUUUUGAUGCCAGUUUGACUUGUGUUGUAGAUUCAGUCAUCUCUUUUACCAGUCCAAUUGCUUCAUCUUCAUGUUCCUAUCUCUCAAAAACAAUGUUAGUUUCAUCAAAUACAACAUGCACACUUUCUUCUACAUACAAAUUUCUUUUAUUAAAAACUUUAUAUGCUUUGCUAUGUGAAUAACAUCCCAUGAAUACUCCCUCAUCACUUGUGAGGUCAAAAUUACCUAGGGAGUCUUUUCCAUUAUCGUGCACAUAGCACUUGCAACCAAAUGCCUUAAGAUGGGAUAUGUUUGGUAUUCUCCCUUUAAGUAACUCAUAGGGAGUCUUCUCAACAAGAGGUCUGGUCAUGCAUCUAUUGAUUAUGUAGCAUGCAGUGUUUACAACCUCUCCCAGAAGCUGUGAGGUAAUUUACUAGAGAGAAGCAUGGUCCUUGCCAUAUCCUCAAGGGUCCUGUUCUUUUUUUCAACUACUCCAUUUUGCUGAGGAGUUCUAGGGGCAGAGAAGUUAUGAUGUACACCAUUUUCAUCACAAUAUUCAGUAAAUUUUCCAUGCAAAACAAUCUUGUCAGUGGUAAGGUUAAUCACAAAUCAUUUGGUAGAGGUGAAAACUAUAUUUCAAGACAUCUAUCAAGUAGACAUUCUCAAUGGCAUGAUAGUCUGUAUUACCUGCCUUUCCAACCCCAAUGAUCUCACCUUUCUUUCCAUUACCAAAGGAGACAUUACCUCCUUUUAGGUCUUCAAGUGAAAGGAACUGGUCCUUGUCCCUUGUCAUAUAUUUUGAGCAACCACUAUUCUUAUUCCAUAUUUGGUUCCUCCCUUUCAUUUGGAUCUGCAAAAAAGAAAUCAGGGGGUAGUAUUAGAAAUCCAAACUAGUUUGGGCCCCUUUCUAUGGGCAAAAAGAUGAAUCAGAUUUUCUCUUGCCCAACCAGGCAACUUGUUUUUCUUGAACAAAAGCUUUAUUCUUUUAACUGGCCUUCUCUUUUGCAUUGCAUUCAUUCUUGUGGCCAGUCCUGCCACAAUGUGUGCAGAUUUUAUUUUCAGGAAGCGUGAGACACUUGUUUUUUGGAUCUCAUUUUGAAGCUUGCCUCCCAUAACCGCUAUUGUGGUGCUUUUGUAAUCAAGAAAGUACAUCAGAAGCCUUGUUCCAGUUAGUUCUAUCAAGUUCAUGUUUCACUUUUCCUAGAUCUUCAUUUAGGACUUUGAUCAAUUCAUCAUUUUUAUAUAGCUCACUUUUCAAUUUUCCUAAAUUUUCUUCUAGAGUGAGAUAUGAGUGAUCAGCCUUCAUUUUUCCUAUUCCCAGUUUCAGUUUUACAUUCUUAGAUCUAAGAUCUAAGACAGUGUUAUUGAGUUCAAGAAUCUGGUUAUUCAACACAAUAUUUUUGUUAUCACUCUCAUCAUCCCUAGACUCUAGACUCUUGCAUUUUGCGUUUAACAUCAAACAUUCCCUAGAUAGAACUUCCUUUUCAUUGUUAACUAUCUCAGACUCAUCAAUGAAGUCUAAUAAUAGCUCAACCAACCUUUUUAAAGACAAAAAUUUAAUUUUGUCUUUGAGAUGCAGAAUACUUACCUUUUGCUCAUCAUCUGAUUAUCCAAUGGCCAUAAGAGCUUUCUCUUCCUCAGCUUCAUCUUCCGAGUCUUCAUCAGAGGUUUCACCCCAAGCAACAACCAUAUCCUUGGUUGAACCUUUCUUUCUUUUUGGUUGAACAUGUUCCUUCUUCCUGUUUCUUCGCUUAGACCUUUCUUUCUUCCACUCAAUUUCCCAUUGAGGGAAGUUCUAGAUCAUGUGAUCAGUCUUACCACACUUAUAACUGUCACACCUCCUUUUUACACACCCCAAAAGGGCAUAAGGGAUUUUUUCCACUUUAAGUGACAUUAUUCGAAAUGAGAUUAUUUAUUUUAUUCAGAAUCGCCACUUGGGAUAAUUAUGGUGUCCCAAGUCACCGAUUUAAAUUAAAUCCCAAAUCGAGGAAGUAUUAUUUUUUUUAAGAGUCUGCGAACCAAAAAUUCUAAGUAAGGAAUUCUAUUAACCCGGAAGAAUGUGUUAGGCAUCGUGGUUCUAGCAUGGUCGCUUAGAAAUUUAUAUUUGACUUAAUCAUCUAACUACUAAUUUUUAAGAUAUAUGUGCAGUUAUUUUUAUCGCUUUUCAAAAUUUAAUUAUUCGUAAUUAAAGAAUCAAGUUACAGGUACGUAUAUAUUUUUUUUUUAUAGUUUCAGUGUGUUGCAUUAAAGCUUCCAUGGAUGUUCCAAACACAAGGACAUGAUUGCUCUAGAUCAAUACAAAUCCAUAGAGCUUGGAUAUUAUUGAACACAAUUUCCCAGAUAUUCCGCCAAACUUUCUUAACAGUUUUUACAUUCUCAAUUUUCUAAGCCAAAAUGGUCCAAAAAGUGGGAUCAUAAAGAGGAAGUCUACACAAUAUAAAUUUGAACCAAGGAUACGAUAUAAUAGGAGUAUAUCAAAAAAAUUUACCAAUCAGGUGCAGUAUAAAUACUCUUUCAAAUAAAAUAAAAAGAAGCUACAAACAUUUACUUCAUAACAUAUAACAAUGAGCUAAUGGAGAUCUUACUUCAAGAUAUUCAAGUUCAACAUAAUCUUGCCAACAGCUAUGGGAAUCAUCCCCUUUUAGAGUAGAACAAUAAUAUAAAUUCUGUAGAAUUAAACUUGAGGAGGGGAAAGCCAAAUCAAAGCAUAAUUGCCUUCCUGCCCAUUUGGAUAAACCACGACCCAAAUCAUAGCCAAAAGAAAUGACUACUUUCAAAAUAGUUCAUGGAUUUCCAGCCAACAAACUUAAUAUUCAUAUUGACCACUAAAUGCUAAAAUUAAAUGAGUACUACACAAUUAAAAAUUUCCACUAGAAUUAAAGAUUCAAACAGCCCGUUUCAAUUUCCGAUUUGUCUAGCACACAUUUCUCAUUCCAUUUACAAUUUGGAAUUCUCAGAACUCUUAUACCAUAAGCAAAAGUAAUAGUCAGAUUCAAUUCAAGCAGUAAAAGAAAUAUCACAACAAAGAUAUUCAAUCAAAUACAUUUCAUCACGAUCUUCAGUAUAUCAACAAAACAAACAAUAAGACAAGAAAAAUCGAGGCAGUAGAUGUUUACCUCACAUUCAUAACAGGAAAGGGAAAAAGCCCAAAUAAAGGUCCAAGGCUUUAAGAUGAAGCUCAACAACCUAAAUGGAGAAAAACAUCAUCAGCUUUAGAUUUCACAGCUCUUUUAGAAAAUCGAAGAAAAAGAAUUAACUUUCAGUUUUCAAUUCCAAAUUCCACUUGCUCCCGAUUUUGCUUUUUGUUGUUGUCAUUUUCUGUUCUUUCUCAUGUGACAUUUUCUACAUUUGUGUGCAUUUUUUGGCGUGAGUGUGUGUUCCAUGAGUGAAUUCCAGUUGAGAGGGAGUGAAAUUUGAUGGUUUUUUCAGAGGACUCAGCGAUGGAGUGCUUUCUUCGGUUAGGGGUCUCCUCAAAAUGGGGAAAGGUUCUGAUGGAUUUUUUUACGUGUAUUUGUGUGUGGGUCUCUCUCUAGGUAUUAAGGGGUAUGGGCCUAAUGUUUUGAGUUUGG